CACGUAGGGACCAAGCGUUGUCCGGAUUCAUUGGGCGUAAAGAGCUCGUAGGCGGCUCAGUAAGUCGGGUGUGAAACCUCCAGGCUCAACCUGGAGACGCCACCCGAUACUGCUGUGGCUAGAGUCCAGUAGGGGAGCGUGGAAUUCCUGGUGUAGCGGUGAAAUGCGCAGAUAUCAGGAGGAACACCAGCGGCGAAGGCGGCGCUCUGGGCUGGCACUGACGCUGAAGAGCGAAAGCGUGGGGAGCGAACAGG
rnacentral:rRNA from 1 species